rnacentral:lncRNA from 10 species
CUUUCGCCCGCAGGUCGCCCAAGUCCAGCCCCACGACGCAGUGCCGACUCCCCGCCGUGCCCCCAGCCCGGCCCGGGUUGCGGAGCCCUGCUCCUGGGCCUCUGCCUGCUGCGUCCACCCUGGGGGAAGCGCCCGUCGUACCCUCCACACCGGGGGCUUCCCCUGACCCCUUAGGCCCUCCCCCUGCAGGUGCCCUCGCGCCCCUCCCGGGGUCCCCAGGGACAGUGGAUUCGGGGCCCCGGCCUCCCUGGAAUGAGAGAUGCACAGACUGGGCCGUGAUCUCCCACCGUGUCCUCACAGCCCCAAGACAGAAUGCCAUGCGGAUUGGCAGGAGACCUCACUGUGGGGUUCUUGGAGCCAACCCUCCAGGCCAUGUAGGGUCCAGCCCUACGGGACUUAGUGGGUGUUCUCCCCGUGUGCGGAGACGAGAGAUUGUAAUAAAUAAAGACACAAGACAAAGAGAUAAAGGGAAAACAGCUGGGCCCAGGGGACCACUACCAUCAAGACGCGGAGACCGGUAGUGGCCCCAAACAGCUGCGCCCGCUGAUAUUUAUUGCAUGCAAGACAAGGGGGCAGGGUAAGGAGGGUGAAUCUUCUAAGUGAUUGACAAGGUGAAGCAAGUCACGUGAUCACAGAACAGGGGGCCCUUCCCUCUUAGGUAGCCGAAGCAGGGAGAGAGAAGGCAGCAUACGUCAGCGUUUUCUUCUAUGCACUUAUAAGAAAGAUCAAAGACUUUAAGACUUUCACUAUUCCUUCUACCACUGUCUACUACAAACUUCAAAGAGGAACCAGGAGUACAGGAGGAACAUGAAAGUGGACAAGGAGCGUGACCAUUGAAGCACAGCACCACAGGGAGGGGUUUAGGCCUCCGGAUGACUGCGGGCAGGCCUGGAUACUAUCCAGCCUCCCACAAGAAGCUGGUGGAGCAGAGUGUUCCCUGACUCCUCCAAGGAAAGGGAGACUCCCUUUCGCGGUCUGCUAAGUAACGGGUGCCUUCCCAGACACUGGCGUUACCACUUGACCAAGGAGCCCUCAAGCGGACCUUAUGCGGGCAUGACAGGGCUCACCUCUUGCCUUCUACAUCACUUCUCACAAUGUCCCUUCAGCACCUGACCCUAUACCCG